CGGUGGUCCCACCUGACCCCAUGCCGAACUCAGAAGUGAAACGCCGUAGCGCCGAUGGUAGUGUGGGGUCUCCCCAUGUGAGAGUAGGGAACCGCCAGGU
rnacentral:rRNA from 1 species